GAGAGAGAGAGGUGGGCUGUUCUGGUGUGAAUGCUGCGGUGUAUGAGGAAAGAGAAGGUGACGUUUUCUGGUUGCUCCAAAAUACAACCGAAAAGAGAGAAGUGAAGCGACCAUUAUUCUUCGGUCUCAACGUACAAAACGAAAAGCUGCGAUCAGGCCUGCAAUGCAACGACAACGAGGGUGUAUUAUUAUUAUGCAUAUGGUGAAAUACUACUGCGGGAGUGUUCGAGAAUCGAGACACUGUGCGCGAGAGUAAAAAGAGACUGACGUGACGGGAUUUUCGGCCCGGUAACAAGUUCUUCUCCAUUGGG